ensembl:snRNA U6 U6 spliceosomal RNA
CCACUUCCUUUGGCAGUGCAUAUACUAAAAUUAGAACGAUACAGAGAGUAUUAGCAUGGCCCCUGUGCAAGGAUGACACACAAAGUGUUCCUUAUUUUU